rfam:Oryza glumipatula chromosome 3, whole genome shotgun sequence.
AAUAAGUGCAGCUAUGAGUUUCUGCGCCAAACUUUGAUCGUCCGUCUUAUUUGAAAUUUUUUUUAUAAUUAGCAUUUUUGUUGAUAUAAGAUGAUAAAAUAAGAAUAAUACUUUACCCGUGACUUAUGUUUUUAAUUUUUUUCAAAAUUUUUUUAAAUAAGACGAAUGGUCAAAGUUGGGCGCGAAAAAUCAUGGCUACACUUAUU